AGAUGGGCUCUCUGUCCUAGGACCAUGGCCCAGUUUGUCCGUAACCUCGCGGAGAAGGCCCCGGCGCUGGUCAACGCUGCUGUGACUUACUCAAAGCCUCGAUUGGCCACGUUUUGGUACUAUGCCAAGGUUGAGCUGGUUCCUCCAACCCUUGCUGAGAUCCCUACAGCAAUUCAGAGCUUGAAAAAACUUAUCAACAGUGCUAAAACCGGUAGCUUCAAACAGCUCACUGUUAAGGAAGCUCUACUGAAUGGUUUGGGGGCCACUGAGGUGUGGAUGUGGUCUUAUGUUGGUGAGAUCAUAGGCAAGCGUGGCAUCAUUGGCUAUGAUGUUUGAAGACCUAUUUUUAACAUGUGAUUAUAUUUGCUUUAUUAUUCAAGUGUUCUUGGACCAUGUGUGAGCAGACUGCUAUUUGAAUAAAAUAAGAUGAUGUG